GAUGAACGCCGGCGGCGUGCCUAAUACAUGCAAGUCGAGCGAAUGGAUUAAGAGCCUGCUCUUAUGAAGUUAGCGGCGGACGGGUGAGUAACACGUGGGUAACCUGCCCAUAAGACUGGGAUAACUCCGGGAAACCGGGGCUAAUACCGGAUAACAUUUUGAACCGCAUGGUUCGAAAUUGAAAGGCGGCUUCGGCUGUCACUUAUGGAUGGACCCGCGUCGCAAUUAGCUAGUUGGUGAGGUAACGGCUCACCAAGGCAACGAUGCGUAGCCGACCUGAGAGGGUGGUCGGCAACAGUGGGACUGGACCACGGCCCAGACUCCUACGGGAGGCAGCAGUAGGGAAUCUUCCGCAAUGGACGAAAGUCUGACGGAGCAACGCCGCGUAGGUGAUGAAGGCUUUCGGGUCGUAAAACUCUGUUGUUAGGGAAGAACAAGUGCUCGUUGAAUAAGCCGGCACCUUGACGGUACCUAACCAGAAAGCCACGGCUAACUACGUGCCAGCCGCCGCCGUAA
rnacentral:rRNA from 1 species